UAGUGAUUAGAGUUUGAUCCUGGCUCAGAUUGAACGCUGGCGGAAUGCUUUACACAUGCAAGUCGAACGGCAGCACGGGGGCUUGCUCCUGGUGGCGAGUGGCGAACGGGUGAGUAAUGCGUCGGAACGUACCGAGUAAUGGGGGAUAACGCACCGAAAGGUGUGCUAAUACCGCAUACGCCCUGAGGGGGAAAGCAGGGGAUCGUAAGACCUUGCGUUAUUCGAGCGGCCGACGUCUGAUUAGCUAGUUGGUGGGGUAAAGGCCUACCAAGGCGACGAUCAGUAGCGGGUCUGAGAGGAUGAUCCGCCACACUGGAACUGAGACACGGUCCAGACUCCUACGGGAGGCAGCAGUGGGGAAUUUUGGACAAUGGGGGCAACCCUGAUCCAGCCAUUCCGCGUGAGUGAAGAAGGCCUUCGGGUUGUAAAGCUCUUUCAGCUGGAACGAAACGGUACGCUCUAACAUAGCGUGCUAAUGACGGUACCAGCAGAAGAAGCACCGGCUAACUACGUGCCAGCAGCCGCGGUAAUACGUAGGGUGCGAGCGUUAAUCGGAAUUACUGGGCGUAAAGCGUGCGCAGGCGGAUUGUUAAGCAAGACGUGAAAUCCCCGGGCUUAACCUGGGAAUGGCGUUUUGAACUGGCAGUCUAGAGUGUGUCAGAGGGGGGUAGAAUUCCACGUGUAGCAGUGAAAUGCGUAGAGAUGUGGAGGAAUACCAAUGGCGAAGGCAGCCCCCUGGGAUAACACUGACGCUCAUGUACGAAAGCGUGGGUAGCAAACAGGAUUAGAUACCCUGGUAG
rnacentral:rRNA from 1 species